rnacentral:rRNA from 1 species
AUUGAACGCUGGCGGCAGGCCUAACACAUGCAAGUCGAGCGGAGCGGGGGACGGGGGAGUAAUGCCUAGGAAUCUGCCAGGUAGUGGGGGAUAGCGACCGGAAACGGGCGCUAAUACCGCAUCCUAUUACCUGCGCCUAGGUCGGAUUAGCUAGUUGGUGGGGUAAAGGCCUACCCAGGCGACGAUCCGUAACUGGUCUGAGAGGAUGAUCAGUCACACUGGAACUGAGACACGGUCCAGACUCCUACGGGAGGCAGCAGUGGGGAAUAUUGGACAAUGGGCGAAAGCCUGAUCCAGCCAUGCCGCGUGUGUGAAGAAGGUCUUCGGAUUGUAAAGCACUUUAAGUUGGGAGGCGUUACCCACAGAAUAAGCACCGGCUAACUCCGUGCCAGCAGCCGCGGUAAUUC